rnacentral:lncRNA from 1 species
ACCCAGAUUGAGGGGGUUGAUUUCAGAAAUAUUUUCCCCAGUGGUUAAGAUGUCUACUGUCAAAUGUUUGAUUGCUAUAGCUGUUAAGAAACAUUGGGAUCUUUUUCAACUUGAUGUCAACUAUGGCUUCUUGCAUGGUGACCUAGAUGAGGAAGUGUAUAUGAAGCUACUUCCAGGUUUGAACAUUUCUGCUCCUCCCGUCUCUUCUGUUUCCACUCCCUUUGUUUGCAAAUUAAAGAAGUCACUCUAUGGGUUAAAACAGGCUUCAAGACAAUGGUAUGCCAAAUUGUCUCAAUCUCUGUAUUCCAGAGGUUAUAUCCACUCUCUCAAUGAUUACUCUUUAUUUAUAAAGGGUCAGCCUGGUUGUCUUGUGCUGCUGGCAGUAUAUGUGGAUGACAUCAUUAUCACUGGAGAUGAUACAACUGAAAUUUCUAUAUAAAGGGUCAGCCUGGCUGUCUUGUGCUGCUGGCAGUAUAUGUGGAUGAUACCAUUAUCACUGGAGAUGAUACAACUGAAAUUCCUGCCCUAAAACAUUUCUUGGAUGAUCAGUUUAGAAUUAAAGACCUCGGGUCUUUACAUUAUUUUCUUGGAAUUGAGGUGUCUACUGUUCCUGGUGGGGUACUUCUUAAUCAAAAGAAAUUUGU